CCUACGGGAGGCAGCAGUAGGGAAUUUUCCGCAAUGGGCGAAAGCCUGACGGAGCAAUACCGCGUGAGGGAUGACGGCCUGUGGGUUGUAAACCUCUUUUCUCAAGGAAGAAGUUCUGACGGUACUUGAGGAAUAAGCAUCGGCUAACUCUGUGCCAGCAGCCGCGGUAAUACAGAGGAUGCAAGCGUUAUCCGGAAUCACUGGGCAUAAAGCGUCUGUAGGUUGUUUAGUAAGUCUGCUGUUAAAGACUGGGGCUUAACCCCAGAAAAGCAGUGGAAACUGCUAGACUCGAGUGUGGUAGAGGUAGAGGGAAUUCCUAGUGUAAGCGGUGAAAUGCGUAGAUAUUAGGAAGAACACCAAUGGCGAAGGCACUCUACUGGGCCAUAACUGACACUGAGAGACGACAGCUAGGGGAGCAAACGGGAUUAGAUACCCCGGUAGUCCUAGCCGUAAACGAUGGAUACUAGAUGUUGCACGUAUUAACCCGUGCAGUAUCGUAGCUAAGGCGUUAAGUAUCCGCUGGGAAGUACGCUCGCAAGAGUGAAACUCAAAGGAAUUGACGG
rnacentral:rRNA from 1 species